UGGGACGUGUCCGCGAUGAGACCUGACACUCAUAUUUCUCAUCUGAAAAGAGCUGCCUAUCGCCUGUCUUUCUGCCAGAAAAAGGAAAAAGGCUGCUUAUCCCUCGAGUUUUCAAGCUCCACCACGAUGGCUCCUUCCCUUCCUAUCUUCCCUCUCGUCUCCGCUUCAGCCCAGCAUCUUUCUUUUGAUUUUACUUCAUCUCAACCGUCGGCCAAUCAAAUCGCAUCAUCAUCGGAGGGAAAGAUGCCAAUCAUCGGAGGGAUAAGCAGCGGGUGGAUGACACGCCACGCCCACCUCCUCCCUACUGUCCUCGCCGCCACCUCCCGCCGGUCUCUGCCGUCGCCUUCCUCUCUCUCAUCACCGGCGUCGGCCUUCCCCUCCAAUCUCCCUCCUGUGCUUUCCUUCCCACAGAUCUCUCCGAAAAAGAGAGACGCCGACCUCCUUCUUGCUCUCCUCGCCGCCACCUCCCACCGGUCUCCGCGGUCGCCUUCCUCCCCAUCGUCACUGGCGUCGGCCUUUCCCUCCGAUCUCCCUCAGGUGCUUCUCUUCCUAGAGAUCUCCGAAAAACGGAAAGAAAUGAAAAGAAAACAAAAGGAAAAGGAAAAAAAUCGAUCAAUCUAUGCGGGAAAAGAUGGAUGGAUGAUGGAGGUUGGAGUGGGUCGACUUCUGUGCGGCGGUGAUCCAACGGUGGAUUUGCGCGGAGGAAGGUGAAUCCUUCUUUCACACGGAAGAUACAACCCGAACCCUCUCUGUGUUUGUUUGUGGAGGCAAUGAUGAUGAAAGCUAUUCAGACCCUUCAGUGUUUUUUCCUUCUUUUUGGUAACCAUUGCUUGGCAGCUUGGAUGGUCUGCUCGUCUACAGAACCGCCGCUGCAAUGAUUCGUCUAAGAAAUAGUGCUCUACUUGUUUGUUCCCAACCUUUUCAUCUUCUAAGAUAAGUAUCCUGUGUGCGUUGCGGGAGAGACCCGCCGAUCGAGCGGUCUUCCAUUGAGGCGCGCUCAACAUGACAUGGUGAGGUCACAUCAGGUGUGGAUCCAAGACCACCAAUUCGGCCAGCCGCGUGGGUAAAGCCUGCGAAGUGGGAGAUAUUCGUUCCUCGAGAAAAAACCUGAACAUGAUUUAACAGCCUGAAGAGCUAGGCCUAACCAACUCACAAAUUCCGACUGACUAGCAGACCCAACCUCCAUACAAAAGAGGCUCAACCUCCAUACAAAAGACAUACGAAGGGAAGGGGAUCCUAAGGUAAGCAAACAUGAGCACUCGAGAGAAGGGCAGGUCCGAAAGGGAGGAGGAAGGAGAACUCUCUCGUCUCUCUCUCUUACUCUCUUUUCUCUUUUCCAUUCCCAAAGCUCCGGCUAACUUUAGCAUCGGAGGGUCCCCGUCGGAGCACCCCCAGCAAGUGUGGACUUCCUUUCCAAGAUCACAGAUCUCGGGUGGCGUCCAGCUCCAGGCACAUCAGCACGUCUCCGGAGCCUUGCUGCAACACUGUUCUACAGGUCUUUUCUCUGUGAAAGUUAAGAUCAAAAGAUGGUCGAAAGGCAAUGUUAUUUUGGAAAUGAUGCCAUAGCAAAUCUCAACAGGAAUCCCAGAUCUCCGACAAAGAGAAUGAAAUGAAAAGAAAAGAAGCGAAAAGAAAAAAGCAUGAUCAGACUGUGGGAAAAGGUCUUACCUUUCAAUUUUUCCAUCUAUCCUUUGUUUUUGUUGAUUUUUCAAUUGGUUUCCCCUGGUUUGCAGCAAUGCUCGUUUACAAUGGUGGUGGCCAGCUUGGAUGGCUGCUGCUUUGCAGGCAACCACUGCUAGUCAUUCAUUGAGACAAGUGAUUUGGAUCCUGACUCGACCCGACCCGUUUGCAGCCCCUAUGUCAUUUGUUGAGGUAUGAAAGCUCCAGAGAGAAAUAAUUCUGGGUUGGUGACUUGGUGCUCCCUGGUGUUGUCCCCUCUUUGUUAUAAGCUGAACUAAAAUUCUAUAGAGUGCCCUCUACGGUGAUGGUUGUCUACCAGUUCAUGAACUGGAGAUCAUUCGAACUCGGCUCUUAAACAUACCUCUCUAUGUGUAUGUCUUGCUCUAUCUUUUCUCUGGAGGCAGUGAUGAUGAAGCUCUUUUAGAUUCCUCCCUUAUUUUUCUUUUGUGACUAUUGUGGGGUUGCUUGUAUGGUCUGCCACUCCACAGACAACCUCUACAGCCAUUUGUGGACAAAGAAUGCAGAAGUGGGAUGAUGGAUCAAGGGCGUGGUUCUUUUCCAUUGUACAGUGAGAGAGCUCUUUUUCGAGAGCCCUUAUGUCAUUUGUUGAGGCAUGAAAGCUCCAGGGAGAAAUAAAUGAGGGUUGGUGACUUGGUGCUCCCCUGAGUUGCCCCCUCGUUGUUGUAAUAUGAGCAAAAAUUCUGUAGAGUGCCCUCCAUGGUGAUGGUCAUCUCUCAGGUGAUUCAACUGUGGAUUCGUGUGGAGGAAGAUGAAUCCUUCUUUCGCACAAAAGAUACAACCCGAACCCUCUUUGUGUUUGUGGAGGCAAUGAUGAUGAAAGCUCUUCAGACCCCUCUGGUGUUUUUUUUUUUUUUUCACCUUUGUGGUAACCAUUGCUUGGCAGCUUGGAUGGUCUGUUGGUCUACAACAGACAACCGCUGCUGCAAUGAGUCUUUUGAGAAAUAGUGCAGGAGGAAAGAUGGAUCAAAGGUGAGUCUGAACCUCUACUUGCUUUUUCCCAUCCUUUUCAUCUUCUAAUAUAAGUAUUGUGUUUAUCUCUAUUCUGUUUUUCUGAAAUUUUGUUAUGUUUAUGAUUUUUCGAUGAUAAAGUUAUGCAAAUAUGAAGUAACUUCCUUUAGAGUUUUUUACAUUUUUUUACAGGGUUUUUACUUUGAUAUUUAGCUUUUCUUUUCUGUUUUGAAAAAAGGUUCAAUUUCACUGCCACCCAAAAUGAUCAGAAAUUCCCUUUUUUCAGUAUUCAAGUCUUUUCUCUGAAAAUUAGGAUCGAAGAUGGUUGAAAGACUGUUAUUUUGGAAAUCAUUUCAUAGCAAAUUGUUUUCCAGUUCCACAAGAUUCUAACCUAAAACAUAGAAUGAAAUAAAUAAAUAAAUAAAUAAAAUAAUUACUAACAUGCCAUGCUGAUUUUGUGAUGACAAUUUAUUAAAGCCACACCUACAGAUUUUGAUGUCCAUAGCUACUGCUAACCGUUAGAAACACAGAAUUUAGAGAACUAUUUUGUUUUCUUUGAUUCCCAUUUGUAAUGAGUGAUAUAUACAUCAAAAAGAAGUGAAGAAAUUGUUUUUUUUUUUAACUAAUUACAAGUUAAAAUUACACCAGCCACCUCAAUCAAACAUUGGCUUCUCUGAUUCAGAGCAUAAUUCCUAUCCAACCUUUCAAAACAAUUAGACCACCUCCUAACUUACAAAGCUAAUGUUCAGAAAGUAAGGAAAAGGACAUGUUAAACCAUGAGCCUUGAGUCUCUGUCUCUGUCAUUCUGUGGUGGCCGGUGCAAGCUAUGAUGAGACGCAUUUGGACCUUGGAGUUGAAUAGCAUGAGAAAGGCCUUGUUCAUGCAUCCACAUGACAAUUCAGAAAGAUGGAACUGAGCCUAGUGCAAGUCUCACAUCAUGGGCUUGGUAUCAUAUUCAUAUUAUCUUGAGAUCAGAACUCCUUAAAUUGAAAAUUUUGGAGCCAAAGAAGAAUCCUUUGGAUCAAAAAUCCCCCAAGCCCCACAAAAUAUCAUGAUUCUACCAAGAUUUAACUCUCAAAACCUCAGGGGACCAACUCACACCGUCACAACUCGCACAAAAUCCCAUAUGUUUGAGAAAAAACCCAAUUGGAACCAAAGAAACCCCUCUGAUCUUGCUCAGGUGCUCUCCUUUUCCACAGAUGUCUGAAAAAGAGAAUGAAAUGAAAGGGGAAAAAAGAUCAAUCUAUGUGGGAAAAGGUCUAACCUUUUAAUUUUUCCAUAUUUCCUUUGUUUUUGUUGAUUUUUCCUAUGUUUUCCCCUGAUUUUUCGUCUGAGUCACAAUUGGGUGGGAGGCUUGGAGUGGCUGAAUAGGGAAGCUUAGACAAUGGCUAGGGUUUUGUGUUCGGUGUUUAUAAAUAAGAGUUUAAAGGGUAUAAAUAUAUUGUCAAUCAAUUUAAAAACAAUUGUUAACUGUAGCUUAUUUGUUGAGGUUUUGGGUUGGCCAUCUAAAGACUUGGAGUUCAAAUCCUUUCAUUCUUCUAUUAUGUAUAUAUUUUAUAGGGUUAAAAGUGGAGAAUCCAGAGGCAGUGAUGAUGAACCUACCAGCUAUGUGAUGGUAGAGCAUAUAUGUAUGUAUGUAUGUAUGUAUGUAUAGAGAGAGAGAGAGAAAGAGGGAAAGGGAGAGAGCUCGACUUGGCUCCACUUGAGUGGAUGUUCACCAUAUUGGCCAUUGCUUUUCCCAUGCAGCAAUGCUCGUUUACAAUGGUGGCAGGCAGCUUGGACGGUCUGCUGCUUUGCAGGCAACCAGCGGCAAGCCAUGCAUUGAGAAAAGUGAUGUGACUGCAAUAUCUGACAGGCCAAAAGUUAAUCUGAGCCUCUGCUCCUUCCUAUCUUUCUUCUUUUAGAACUAAGCCCUUGUUCACGUAUCCACUGCUUUUUCAGAAUUUUCUUUUCUUUUUUUUUUAUGUUUCAAUGUUCAAAAUGUUUAUCUGAAUUGAUUUGUAGUUUAUUGGUUUCUAUUUGUUUUCUUGACGUCAAAGUUGGAUCCUGACUCAACCUGAUCCAUUUGUAGCCUUUAUGUCAUUUGUUGAGGUAUGAAAGCUCCAGGGAGAAAUGAAUAAGGGUUGGUGACUUGGUGCUCCCCCAAGUUGGCGAGCCUCCAUAUUUCAUGCACAAAGUGCAAUUGGACCGCGCAAAAUCCCAUGGUGCAUAACAUGCCAUGUUACCCUUUGUAUUUCAUCAAUUUCUGAUUGCACGCUAUCCACUGUGCAUAUGCUCUGGGAUUUGCUCCGAUUCACUUCAAUCUGGUGCAUGCAAUAAUCUCUCCCCGAGUUGCCCCUUUCUUUGUUAUAAGAUGAACAAAAAUUCUACAGAGUGCCUUCCACAUGUCUGAACUCGGCGCUUAAAUCCCAUACCUCUCUCUAUAUCUGACUUGCUCUAUCUUUUCUCUGGAGGCAAUGAUGAUGAAGCUCUUGUAGAUUCCUCCAUUAUUUUUCUUUUCUGACUAUUGUGAGGUAGCUUGUAUGGUCUGCCACUCCACAGACAGCCUCUACAGCCAUUUGUGGAUGAAGAAUGCAGAAGUGGGUGAUGGUAUGAAAAUGAAUCUGAGCCUCUCCCCACUUGUCUCUGUCCUUUUUAUGUUCUGAGAUAGAAUUGUCACUAUCAUCCAGAUGGCAACAAAUCCUCUUUUUUGGGCAUACAAGUCUUUUACUUGAUUCAUGCUUGUCUCAAGUUGAAGCUAGAUACAUGCUCAAGCUGCUUGAUUCAUUGGACAGCCUGUUUUCAGCCCAAUAUUUUGCUUAGCUAAGAGGCUCGAUGAAGGGAACCAGGAAGAGUUGCUCGGUUGGUGCUCUGGUGCUACCAAGAGCUGCCCUCUUCCACAAUAUGACAUGGCUGUUAUUUAAGACCUCUCUGUUUUGGAUGCAUUCUUCUCUUUAUCUUGCUGUGUCUUUUCUUUUGAGGCGAUGAGGAAUUCUCUUUUUGACUUCUCUCUCUGUUUUCCUUUUGUGACAGCGCGUCGCAGUUGGGAUGGUCUAUUUCUUCAUGGACAACUGCUGCAGUCACUUGUUGAGAGGAUUGCAGCAAAGGAUGUGAGGAUCCAUGCAGGUGUUUGUUUAGUUCCACAUCGAUUGUGUCUAGGAGGUCAUAGCAGGGCAAGGACAUUAAUUCAUAACCUUCUGGCUAGAUCAUAGCAGGGCAAGGACAUUAAUUCAUAACCUUCUGGCUAGAUCAUUUUGGGUGAGGUUUUUGGUCAUUACAAAAGAUGAAUGAUGGAUCAAAGGCGAAUCUGAGCCUCUCUAUGUUUCUUCAGUUUUCAAAGAGAACGUCCCUUGUUUUGUAGUUCAUUCAUUUCCAACACUUGUUCGUCUAUGAUUCUUCUGUGUUUAAAUCUUUCAAAUUUGGAGUGAUCUCUAGA